rnacentral:rRNA from 1 species
AACAGGGAUUGCCCUAGUAACGGCGAGUGAAGCGGCAACAGCUCAAAUUUGAAAUCUGGCCUCGGCCCGAGUUGUAAUUUGCAGAGGAUGCUUCUGGCGCGGUGCCUUCCGAGUUCCCUGGAACGGGACGCCACAGAGGGUGAGAGCCCCGUAUGGUCGGACACCAAGCCUGUGUGAAGCUCCUUCGACGAGUCGAGUAGUUUGGGAAUGCUGCUCUAAAUGGGAGGUAAAUCUCUUCUAAAGCUAAAUACCGGCCAGAGACCGAUAGCGCACAAGUAGAGUGAUCGAAAGAUGAAAAGCACCUUGAAAAGGGGGUUAAAUAGUACGUGAAAUUGUUGAAAGGGAAGCACUUGUGACCAGACUUGGGCCGGGCGGCUCAUCAGGGGUUCUCCCCUGUGCACUCCGCCCGGCACAGGCCAGCAUCGGUUCUCGUGGGGGGAUAAGACCGUCGGGAACGUAGCACCCUCCGGGGUGUGUUAUAGCCCGGCGGACGAUACCCCCGUGGGGACCGAGGUUCGCGCUCCGCAAGGAUGCUGGCGUAAUGGUUACCAGUGACCCGUCUUGAAACACGGACCAAGGAGUCGUCCAUUAGAGCGAGCGUUUGGGUGUAAAACCCGCACGCGUAAUGAAAGUGAACGCAGGUGAGAGCUUCGGCGCAUCAUCGACCGAUCCUGAUGUUCUCGGAAGGAUUUGAGUAAGAGUUUUAACGGACGGACCCGAAAGACAGUGAACUAUGCUUGUAUAGGGUGAAGCCAGAGGAAACUCUGGUGGAGGCUCGCAGCGGUUCUGACGUGCAAAUCGAUCGUCAAAUAUGAGCAUGGGGGCGAAAGACUAAUCGAACUGUCUAGUAGCUGGUUACCGCCGAAGUUUCCCUCAGGAUAGCAGUGUUGAUCUUCAGUUUUAUGAGGUAAAGCGAAUGAUUAGGGACUCGGGGGCGCUAUAUUGCCUUCAUCCAUUCUCAAACUUUAAAUAUGUAAGAAGCCCUUGUUACUUAGUUGAACGUGGGCAUUCGAAUGUACCAACACUAGUGGGCCAUUUUUGGUAAGCAGAACUGGCGAUGCGGGAUGAACCGAACGCGGGGUUAAGGCGCCAGAGUGUACGCUCAUCAGACACCACAAAAGGCGUUAGUACAUC